rnacentral:rRNA from 1 species
GAGUUUGAUCUUGGCUCAGAACGAACGCUGGCGGCAUGCCUAACACAUGCAAGUCGAACGAGAUCUUCGGAUCUAGUGGCGCACGGGUGCGCAACGCGUGGGAAUCUGCCCUUGGGUGCGGAAUAACUUCUCGAAAGGGAUGCUAAUACCGCAUAAUGUCGUAAGACCAAAGAUUUAUCGCCCAAGGAUGAGCCCGCGUAAGAUUAGCUAGUUGGUGGGGUAAAAGCCUACCAAGGCGACGAUCUUUAGCUGGUCUGAGAGGAUGAUCAGCCACACUGGGACUGAGACACGGCCCAGACUCCUACGGGAGGCAGCAGUGGGGAAUAUUGGACAAUGGGCGAAAGCCUGAUCCAGCAAUGCCGCGUGAGUGAUGAAGGCCCUAGGGUUGUAAAGCUCUUUUACCCGGGAUGAUAAUGACAGUACCGGGAGAAUAAGCUCCGGCUAACUCCGUGCCAGCAGCCGCCGCGGUAAU